CAAUAGCGUAUAUUAAAGUUGUUGCAGUUAAAAAGCUCGUAGUUGGAUUUCUGGCAGGAGCGACCGGUCACACACUCUGUGUGUGAACUUGCGUUGUCUCUGGCCAUCCUUGGGAAGAUCCUGUUUGGCAUUAAGUUGUCGGGCAGGGGAUACCCAUCGUUUACUGUGAAAAAAUUAGAGUGUUUAAAGCAGGCUUAUGCCGUUGAAUAUAUUAGCAUGGAAUAAUAAGAUAGGACUUCGGAACUAUUUUGUUGGUUUGCGUUACGAAGUAAUGAUUAAUAGGGACAGUUGGGGGUAUUCGUAUUUCGUUGUCAGAGGUGAAAUUCUUGGAUUUCCGAAAGACGAACUACUGCGAAAGCAGUUACCAAGGAUGUUUUCAUUAA
rnacentral:rRNA from 1 species